AUGAUCAGCGCCACUAGCUUUUCUACCUGUGUGCCUGAAUACGAUGUUCCUGCUGUUGACGAAGCAGUGGAUACAUCAUGGAAGAGGGAACCGCCUUGGAAGGCACUUUUCCCAUCCACAGCACAACAAAGGCAUCCAACUAUAUGCUCCGAUGGCUCUUGUGAUGCUACUGUAGCGCUGCUUCAGUCAACUAAAGAUGUUGCCACAAAGAGAGUGUCACACAUACUGCAAAAGUUAAUAUGUCAUUUGAGUUUUAUGCAUAGACUUGUCAUCGUUGCCGUGUCUGCCCUAGGUGGGAACUACGUGCAGUUUGGUGUGUUUGAGCUUUAUGGUGACAGAGCACUUGUGGAUGCGCUUGAUAUAUCUUUAAAGACGACCCUGUCAAUACCAUUGUCUGCUCCUCCAUUUCUUCUCUCCAGGAGAUUUGAUGGCACUAUGCAGGUGGCAGCAUUGUCAUUCAUCAUGGUGUACAUGAGGGCUGUUGAUACGCCGGAUAACUGCUGGUGGAACUUCAGGAUCCCUGAAGCAUCACUCCACCAGCCGGUCAUGCCCCUGAAGAAGUGA
rnacentral:rRNA from 1 species